CAAUAGCGUAUACUAAAGUUGUUGCAGUUAAAAAGCUCGUAGUUGGAUUUGUGGCGUACGGAGUGUUCCGGGCACUUGUUGUCUGAGUAACCUGCUGUUGCCAUCCUUGGGUGGAACCUGUGUGGCAUUAGGUUGUCGUGCAGGGGAUGCCCAUCAUUUACUGUGAAAAAAUUAGAGUGUUCAAAGCAGGCUUAUGCCGUUGAAUAUAUUAGCAUGGAAUAAUGAGAUAGGACUUUUUUGCUAUUUUGUUGGUUUGCGCAAAGAGGUAAUGAUUAAUAGGGACAGUUGGGGGUAUUCGUAUUCCAUUGUCAGAGGUGAAAUUCUUGGAUUUUUGGAAGACGAACUACUGCGAAAGCAUUUACCAAGGAUGUUUUCAUUAA
rnacentral:rRNA from 1 species